AUGCGUUUAGCUGAUUUCAACACCUUGAAACUUUUCCUCUCUUAUGUUACUGCGAUUUUCAGCGAGAAUCUUCGUCGCCACCAUUGCCUUGAACCUCCCUCCCAAUCACCGCAUAUCAGUACAUUGGGAACAAAAAACCUAAGUUUAAGGGAUACAAAAUUCAGCAAGAAUCAAGAGGAAUCUGCCUUCCUAUUUCACUUCUCUGUCGGCCUCCGACGAACCUCAAACUUCUGUUUGAUCUCAAUCUCCUUCUUUAAUCGGCGCCGUCGUGAACAAGUGCUUCUUGAUAAUUGA